UACGUAGGUGGCAAGCGUUGUCCGGAUUUACUGGGCGUAAAGGGCGUGCAGGCGGUUUGUUAAGUCUAGGGUGAAAGCUCCCGGCUCAACUGGGAGAGGUCCUUGGAUACUGGCAGACUUGAGGAGAGUAGAGGAGAGUGGAAUUCCCGGUGUAGUGGUGAUAUGCGUAGAUAUCGGGAGGAACACCAGUGGCGAAGGCGGCUCUCUGGGCUCUGCCUGACGCUGAGACGCGAAAGCGUGGGGAGCGAACCGG
rnacentral:rRNA from 1 species